AUGGUCGAGGGCUCGGACACGGACAUCGCUAACCUCAAGUUCCUUCUUCUCUGCUUCCAACAAAUGUCUGGCCUCAAGAUCAACUUCGACAAGAGUGAUGUGAUGGUUAUGGGCUACUCUCCGGCUGAAGCCCUUGACAUCGCCAACCGCCUCAAUUGCCGCCUCGGCUCCUUUCCCACGUCUUACUUGGGAACCCCCAUCAGUGACUCUCGGCUCACUAUCGCAGACUUGCGCCCCACGGUCGCCAAGUUACAAACGUGCAUGGAGCCUUGGCAAGGCCGAUGGCUGUCAAAGGCGGCUCGGACGAUCCUCAUUAAUUCCUCCCUCACUAGCCUCCUCAUGUUUCUUAUGAGCUUCUACAGCCUCCAUGAGACCCUUCACCAUGAGAUCGCCAAAAUUCAAUCUCGUUUCUUCUGGGCGGGUGACAACAAUAAGCAGAAAUACCACAUGGUUAGCUGGCUGGACAUCUGCAAGCCCCGUGAACAGGGAGGCCUCAGUAUCAUGUGCUCUAAACGCAUGAACAUCACCCUCCUCACCCGCUGACUCUGGCACAUUUCGCAAGGACACGGUGGUCUCUGGCUUGACAUUAUCCGAAACAAGUACCUGCGCGGACAGCCCCUCGCCUUCUGUCAGAGAGGCGGCUCCCAGUUUUGGCAAUCGGUUGUCCAACUGCUUCCCGUCCUUCGCAUCGGGACCUCCAUCGCGGUUGGAUCGGGUACAGCGACGUUGUUCUGGUUCGACCGGUGGGCGGGAGACUCUCCCUUUGCGGCCCGUUUCCCCGACCUCUUCUCCAUUGUUGUCGCCCCCUUAAUCUCCGUUGAGAGGGCCCUUAUUGACUUAGGACGCCUCGCCUUCCGGAGGCCAUUUGGGCCCCCGGAAGCCGCCGCGUGGCUUGAGCUGCUUGAUUGCAUCGCUCUCCAUGAGCCGGUGGUGGAUGCGGGCCCAGACGAGGUUCGGUGGCGUCUUGAGCCUUCGGGCCAAUUCUCCACCAAGUCCCUCUACUCGGCCAUUGCCCCCUCCUCCGCUCCUCCCCCUCCCUGCGGUUUGGUCCAUCCGCUUGCCAUUGAAAAUUCGGAUAUUCAUGUGGCAAUGGAUCCGUGGUAG
rnacentral:rRNA from 1 species